UGACAUGUUCGGUGAGUUCCUCGACCCUUGUUGUCUGAUGACCGUUGAGGUCGGUAUACCCUGAGGGGUGGGAUUGUCGGUUAGUUGCCGACGGAUGAUUAUACUUACUCAUAUUCACUAUUUGACAUAUUUGUGACCUAGUCGGUCAGUGCAUCAUAUCCUAUACUUGUGACAUGAUUGGUCGAGUUUCAUAUCCUAUACUUGUGACAUGAUUGGUCGAGUUUCAUAUCCUAUACUUGUGACAUGAUUGGUCGAGUUUCAUAUUCUAGUUGAUCUGAGUGGUCAGUCCUUGUGGUUCAUUGAGCAGUAUUUGCAUAUGUUUGAGAGGAUGUCGAUGUUGUCCCAUCCUAGUUGACCUGAGUGGUCGGUUUUUGUGCUUCCUUACAGUUGAUGACCUAUACGGUCGAUGGGCCCUGGGGGGCAGGAUUGUCGGCUGGUUGCCGACGGUUGAUCAUUGAGCAUAUUGCAUUGAUUGCCCGAUACUCAUCGCAUUUCACGAACACUGGCGGUCUGAUCCACCGCAAGGAGUGUUCUUUUCCGGAAAAGUGGUUUGCAUGGUGACAACCCGUGAGCCCUAGAGGGGUUAUAUGCACUGGAGAGUAGUAGUGGCAAUGGCUUGAGGUCUGCGGUGCUGACCAAGAGAGCAUUGGUCAGAUUGGGUACUUUUGAACUUCUUGACCGGUUGACGCAUAUGUCUAUAGUAGCAGUCGUUGCAUGCAUUUUUACAGUUCAUACUUUAUAGUUGUCUUGCUACUAUAGUAGAUAUUCAUGUAUGCUUUCUGUUCCAGUUACAGUAACGGUAGCCGUUAUUCAGUCUAGUUCUUACUUUCUUUCAGUAUAUUGCUACUGUAUUCGGUAUAUCUGCCCAUUUCCUUACAUAUCUCUUUCGUUUAUUAUUGUUGCUACUAUAUUUCCACUGACCCGUGUUGUUGUUUAGCUCUUCCUUAUCCGGUGAGUACUCCUCGCCUUCUUCGACUUGCGGUACCCACUUGGAGGGGAGACAUGUUUACAUGUUCUCACCUCCCCCACUAUUUUUCAGGUAUCGUGGGCGGUGAGGGUUAAGACGAGACGUGAGAUACGUAGUGAUCGAUAGAGCUUCCGACUCAGGUUAUUUUGAUUUAGUUAUUACCCCUAUUAUUUCUGUUGAUGUAUAGUUUAGUUGGUUUAUGUGGUUCAGUAUUUCAUUGCGUUAAAAUAAAAGGAUUUCUGAAUUUUGUAAAAUAAAAGGUUUUCUACCCCUCGUGGUAGCCUUUUUAAAAGACAAAAGUUCCUGUGUAGGGAACAGUUUUCAAAAGGUUUUCUGUGGAUUUUGUAUCUUAGUAUUUCAAAACCUGUUUCUAUGGUUGGAAAUAUUUUAACUGAUAGAUGUGAAAGUAUGUUUAAAUAUUGAAUGUAUAAAUGUAAACCUGUGAUGUGAAUGGUGUAUGAAUAUAUAAUUGUUGGUUAUUUGUAUGUUCAUUUGGUUGUGGUUGUACCUGGGUUGCUUCUUGUACUUGUGCGACGCCGUGCAAAUAUAGGGGAGACUCUGUCCGCAUGCACAGUGAAUUCCCUAUAUUUGUGGCGGAUCUGGCAUACUCUGGGGUCAGGGUUUUCAAAAAAAAAAAAUUCAGACGCUUUUUCGCUAUGUUUUAAACUAAAAGGGACCCCGGGGCGUGACAUCCUCAUCGUGUGAGUUCUUAGGGGCAUUUUUUUGAGACGAUGUCCUAUAUAUGUUAGAUGCCCUUUGUGACUUUUGACUAUGUCAUUAAGUGAAAGAAUUGAUGUUGCUACUUUGGCAUGUUACCUACGGCUAUGAGUGAUGCGGCUUUACGGGGCAUUGCUGGGAAAGCAAUCAGUUCUCAACUCGGUGGCAUGAGGGCUCAAGGAAGACUAACUGAAUUACAUUCAGACACUUUGACUCAUUGUCGACAGGUUGUGUCGCUUCAGCAUAGCGAAACAAUCAUGAGUAUAGUGUCAUAAUGUGCGCAACAGAGGUUAGCAUGGCUCUUAGAGGGAUUAGAGAUGCUGAACCUGAUGUAAUUCAAUGGUCUAGAGCAUCACGAGUCUAAUAUUUUUUCCUUUUUGAGGGUUGAUGUCUCUAUGCUGGCCGGAUGCGGUUUCUAGUAUAGAGCUCCCGAAAUGCAGGUUGACUCGGCGGUCGUACUGUUCAUUUUCCUGUAUGAAUAGAAUUAAUAGUGGUGUGAUGUUAAGGAAGUGGUUACGAUGGCAUCGAUCCCGUCAUGUGCGAGUGGGAGAUGUUGGCAUUCGGUUAAAUUGAAUCGGGUACGCCCAUAAGCGGGUUCGAUCCGACGGAUGUUAUGUUAUCUAAUUGGAUUGGAAUUAAUCUCGCUUUCAAAUAGGAAAGUUAGUUAGAGAUAAAUCCUAGUCAUAUUAGGAUAACAAUUAAUAACCGAUUUGGCCUUAUCUCUAACGCUAUUAGGAUUUUGGAAUUCCUUAUAAAUAUGCGGGCGAUCCCACAUAACAAAAGAGAACAAAGAACGAAAAAAGAAAAGAGAAUAAGAAAACGAAAGAGAGAAACCACAUCCUCUAUCAACCUAUUAUUCUAAGAGGGACUUGAACGGUGGAUUUGUGAUCGUGCUCGUUUGUAGUUCGAUCCGUCGUGAGUUUGGAACGUGAGAAGAUUUAAUCAAGGACGAUCAAAGGACACGUGAAUCAACCUCGACGAUCCGGGCUCAUCGCGUUGUAGCGCGAUUCGCUUCCGCAAAAGGUACGAACGAAUACUUCCGCUGCGUUCUACAGAUCUUUUAAUGGUGUAGAUUAUAUUGGUUUGGAUUUAAAUUUUAAAAUUUUUAAAAAUCAAUUAGAAUUGAACUUUAUAUUAGUUCUUUUGAGCAUUUCUGUAAGGACUGAGAUUUUGACAGUGCAACUAAACUCUCUGUUGACGAUGUUUAUGUGUGUAAUUUAAUUACAUAAGCACUCGUCAAGUUUUAGGAGAAAAUGAGCUAAAACGGAGAAGUUACGCCAUUAUUAGUUUUCACUUAAGUGAAUAGUAACUUCGAUUUUUCGGAGAAGUCACGGAGUAGAGUUGGCUUUCGGCGCGUAUCGAACUCCGUUCAUAGCGAUCUAAUAGCUCGUUUUGAAUGGUUCAGCUAUUCUGGAACCAAUGGCACUGACGGAUUUCAGAUCUGAUGCACGGUUUUUGAGAAAAAGGAGUUUUAACAAAAAGAGGGUUUCCGCUCUUUGCUAUUCGUGCAUUUUAAAACUCCUCGUGCUUUGUACAAGUGAUCUGGAGAUGGGUGAGAGAUGUUUCAAGUACCUACUGGUGGUAGGGAAUUCAAUUACGAGUUUGAAUUAAAGGUUUUUCGGUUUUCACGUAAGUCUAUGUGUGACUUAUGGAUUAAUUAGAGAGCGGAGGGAUUCCGUCGCGAAUCCAUGAUCAAAUUGGACGAAACAAGAUUGUAGUUUUGAUGCCCCCGACGUGCUGAACGUAACGGUGCUGUCGGAUCGAAAAUCCGACGGACGAUUUUCGGGAAACACGAAAUGUUCACUAAGAGGUCAAAGCGGCAUUUUUGGUAUUUCACACGAAACCCUUAUAUUUUAUGUGCCGAAUUGCGUGAGAUCAGACGUGGAGGUGCGUACGUGCAAGUUACACUCCCUGUCAGGGACUCAGCUGAAAUUACUUACCAUGGGGAGGACUUUUCUGCAAUUUGCACAUUGCAUACAAUGUGCAUCUAGGGUUCUUUGGCAAGAAACCCUAGAUCUAGCCGACCUAGUUCCCCAACCGUGCCCUAGUUAGCCCCAACAGGUCCCUGCCCUGCCUGUGCUCGUGCCCAUACCUCCGGCGAGCAACUCCGAUCGCCGGAAAACUCAUGGUCAUCUUCCUCUCCUCCCCUCUCGGCCACCCUCCUCCUCUUCUCUACCGAAGUUGCUAGGGAAGCGACCACAGACCCUCUUGGAAGCUUCCUGGGAAGACAUCUCCCUCUCCGGCGCAAGCACCGGUCAUCCCCGCCGUCCUCGCGCGUCGCCGGCGCCGCCCAAGCAAGCCGCGGGCAACCCAGACGAUCUCGGCCCGAGCAGACCCUAGCUCGAGGCUUGCGAGCCGUAGCAGCCCUAGCUCGGCCGCCCUGCCUCAUCUGGCCUCCGGCGUGACCCCGCGCGCCAUCGCCGCCGCUCCCGACGUCGCCGGCUGCCGCCCCUGCUCUCUGCGGCUGCCCAGACCGAGUGCGGGUCGAGUCGGGGCUAGCUCUGCCUCCGCGCGCCGCCGCCGUUCCCCGCCGACCGAGUCGCCGUUCCUCCACCUCCAGCGACGUGCCGCCGUCGCCCCGACCCUCCUCCGGUCGCCGCCGUGGCCGCCGCUGCCCUAGGAGCCGAGGUGAACCCGUGCGGGCUCGGGUUGUUCCAGCGCCGCCAUCGCCGCCUUCCGCCGCCGGCCAGCGUGAGCGCCGGCUCCGCCUGGCCGGCCGCACCCGUCCACCGCCUGCUAACCCGCCGCAGGAGCUCCCUGUCAACCGUGGUGAGCAUGGUGAUCCUCUGUCAGUCCUGAUCACAGUGCUCUCCUCAAUUAGGGUCAGCGAACCCCUGGUUAGCGAGAUAAGCAUGUUUUUCAUACUGUGCGCGCUGUUCGCAGAUUUUCGCGUCACUCCCGUGCUCUCCACAGUGGCCAAAAUUGCUCCGAAAGGUGAGCACGGCCUCCGGUACAUCGAAACCUAUCAGUGCGUAUCUUGGCUCGGCUGAUCGACCUCUGGUUUGCGUGGACGGACCAUAAAAGCGCCGAAAUCGCAUGAAAUAAUGCGAUUUCGGGUAAUCGGGAGGGCUUUUAUGUAUUUUGGGUUGUUGCAGCUGCUGUUGGCAGCAUGGGUAGGCUGAGGAUAACCUCUGGACUGAUCGUCCAAGGCCCCAAGCUUUUGCGGAAAUCGAAAAGUGAUUUCCGGAGCGUUUUUCGGCGAAAUCCGCCGAUAGAACGCGUUUUUGAUUCGGAGUUCAUCCGACGGUGCCUCGUGGUUGAUGUAGCGUCGCUGAGUCUUGUUGGCUGGUCACUCCCGUUAUUUCGAGAGUUCAGAAAUGAUGAGUGAGCGACGGAGGGUUCCGGUGUCGAAAUUGACACUUCCAGGAACCCGGAUCCCAAUAAUUAUCCACCAAUAGUGUUUGGUUGCGUAUCCUUGUGUUUGCUGCCAUGUCACACUAAAAUAAGUGUUUAGUGGCAGCGAAUGACUCGUGGCAUGAGUCGGUGCCUUCCGGGAUAGUUAGUGGGUCCCGGCAGAGUCCCGGUGCGAUUUUCGGGACUUCCGGCGAGUUACGGUAAUCGGUAGUGGGGAACCGAUCUCCGUAGGAUUGUUUGUGGGGUUAUGCUUUUAGGGUUUCUUAGUUGUGGGUUAGACACUAACCCAGUGGACCCUCCUUAGGUCCUGUUGACAUUCUUUUGCAGUCAGGAGACAGGCGCGAUAGUUGUACAGGUGGGUACUUCGAUCCGACGUUGGUACAAUGGUGCACGCUCGGUGAUGGUUUCUUACCCUUGCUCUUUUAUUAUUAUCCAUAUAUAUAUUAUAUGUUGAGUUUUACACCUCUAUUGUUCACAUUACACCCACAUUGUUUGAUUAUACUCUACUUAGACGUUUUCAUGCUUAGUAUCAUGUGUAGGAGUAUAGUCUGUCGGUAUGUGAUACCAUGUUUUCUUGUUGCUCUACUUAGCUAUUCUGCAUAUCCUGUUUCAUGUUUAGGGUAGAGCGGUUUCGUGAUUUCCUGUGAGAUCGGUGACCUAGUUAGUCGGUUUCUUGACUUCUGUCGUUUGAUGACCUUUGAGGUCGGUGUACCCUGAGGGGUCGGAUUGUCGGCUAGUGGUCGACGGUAGUUCUAGAUUAUAUACUCAGAUGACUUAUUGAUCGAUACUUGCAUACAGUUGAGAGGGUGUCGAGUUGUUCCAUCCCAGUUGACUUGAUUAGUGAGUAUUUGCAUACAGUUGAGAGGGUGUCGAGUUGUUCCAUCUCAGUUGACUUGAUUAGUCAGUACUUGCAUACAGUUGAGAGGAUGUAGAGUCGUUCCAUCCUAGUUGACCUGAGUGGUCGGUUCUUGUGCUUCCUUACAGUUGAUGACCUGUACGGUCGAUGGGCCCUGGGGGGCAGGAUUGUCGGCUGGUUGCCGACGGUUGAUCAUUGAGCAUAUUGCAUUGAUCACCCGAUACUCGUCGCAUUUCACGAACACUGGCGGUCUGAUCUACCGCAAGGAGUGUUCUUUUCCGGAAAAGUGGUUGCAGGUGUCAACCCGUGAGCCCCGAGGGGUUAUAUGCACGUUAGAGCGGCAGUGGUACUGUCGGGAGGUGUUGCGGUGCGGACCUCCAGGGCAUUGGCUUGAAGUCUGCGGUGCUGACCAAGAGAGCAUUGGUUUCAGAUUCGGUACUCUUGGACUGAUUGUCCCAUUGACGCAUAUGUCUAUAGUAGCAGUUGUUGCAUGCAUACUUACAGAUCUUACUUUAUAGUUGUCUUGCUACUAUAGUAGAUAUUCAUGUAUGAUUUCUGUUCCAGUUACAGUAGCGGUAGCCAUUAUUCGGUAUAGUUUCUACUUUCUUUCAGUUUAUUGCUACUAUAUUCAGUAUAUCUGCUCAUUAUCUUAUACAUCUCUCUCGUGUAUUAUUGUUGCUACUAUAUUUCCACUGACCCGUAUUGUUAUAUAGUUCUUCCUGAUCCGGUGAGUACUCCUCGCCUUCUUCGGCUUGCGGUACCCACUGGGAGGAGAGACAUGUUUACAUGUUCUCACCUCCCCCACUAUUUUUCAGGUAUCG
rnacentral:lncRNA from 1 species